GACGAACGCUGGCGGCGUGCUUAACACAUGCAAGUCGAACGAGGUUCAGCCGACCCUUCGGGGAGAGCGAAAAUCUAGUGGCGAACGGGUGCGUAACACGUGAGAAACCUGCCCCGGACUUGGGAAUAACAGUCGGAAACGGCUGCUAAUACCGAAUAUCUCCGUAGCGUCGCAUGGCGCAUCGAAGAAAGCUUUUGCGGUCUGGGAGGGUCUCGCGGCCUAUCAGCUAGUUGGUGAGGUAACGGCUCACCAAGGCAUCGACGGGUAGCUGGUCUGAGAGGAUGAUCAGCCACACUGGGACUGAGACACGGCCCAGACUCCUACGGGAGGCAGCAGUGGGGAAUAUUGCACAAUGGGCGAAAGCCUGAUGCAGCAACGCCGCGUGCGGGAAGAAGGCCUUAGGGUUGCAAACCGCUUUCAGCAGGGAAGAAAAUGACGGUACCUGCAGAAGAAGGUGCGGCCAACUACGUGCCAGCAGCCGCGAUGACACGUAGGCACCAAGCGUUGUCCGGAUUUAUUGGGCGUAAAGAGCUCGUAGGCGGUUCAGUAAGUCGGGUGUGAAAACUCUGGGCUCAACCCAGAGACGCCACCCGAUACUGCUGUGACUUGAGUA
rnacentral:rRNA from 1 species